CCGUUGUUCUCUCCGGGCUGCAGGGACACGGAGCAGCAAUGCUGUAAGCAGCUCUAAGCCAGGGAGCUGUGAAAGGAUGAAACUGACGGGCUGAAGAGAUGAUUAGAUGGUGUCGCUCCACUGAAGUUAUCAGAGCUAUGGCAAAUCACACCAGCUGAGGAGCUGGCUUUUUCACUCUAUUACCUGCUUUUUCUGGAACACUGCAUGGUCAACAACGGCACCCACCAAUUCCUUAUGGGCCACAAGAACUUCAUAAUAUUGUGUGUAAAAGUGAUCUUGCUACUAACACCCAAUAAAACAAUUCUUCUC